CAGCUAGUUGGUGUGGUAAAGGCGCACCAAGGCGACGAUCCUUAGCUGGUCUGAGAGGAUGAUCAGCCACACUGGGACUGAGACACGGCCCAGACUCCUACGGGAGGCAGCAGUGGGGAAUAUUGGACAAUGGGCGAAAGCCUGAUCCAGCAAUGCCGCGUGAGUGAUGAAGGCCUUAGGGUUGUAAAGCUCUUUUACCCGGGAUGAUAAUGACAGUACCGGGAGAAUAAGCUCCGGCUAACUCCGUGCCAGCAGCCGCGGUAAUACGGAGGGAGCUAGCGUUAUUCGGAAUUACUGGGCGUAAAGCGCACGUAGGCGGCUUUGUAAGUUAGAGGUGAAAGCCUGGAGCUCAACUCCAGAAUUGCCUUUAAAACUGCAUCGCUUGAAUCCAGGA
rnacentral:rRNA from 1 species